rnacentral:lncRNA from 1 species
CGGCGCCGCCUGACAGCCUCCACGGAUCAUCGUCCUCCGCGGCGUACGACGAUGGCAGCGACGUCGAGUACGUCCGCGUCGUCCUCCUCGCCGCCGCCGACGAGGAGCACGCCGGAGAAGGUAUCAGUGUCAGCAAGGACAACUAGUGUACAGUGAUUUAUCUUCACUAAAUACAUAUAUAUAUCUACAGAAGUUCAGCAGAGUACAGUGAGUUUUCUGAACUCCUGAAGAUCAUGUGUUUUCGUCAGGAGAUUGUUGUGAUCUGUGAAUCCUGAAACAUGGGAGCACAUCUUGCACAUGUCAAAGAUUAAUUUGCCGCAAAGUGAAAUACAAUUCAGAUAAUUAAGUAGAUAUAUUUUUUCUUUGUGUGAUGCAGAUUAUAGCAGAGCAGUCAGAAAUGAGUUGAGAACAACUUGUGGCACUUUAGCAAAGAACAUUGAUUCUGUUGCAGAGUUGCAUCUAUCUUCUUGUUUCAGUAAAGCGUAACAGCUUCAGCUUUCAGAUCAGUUGAGAUGCUUAUCCUGCUGCAAUUGCAGUUCAUCAGUAAUUAUACUGUCAGUUCUGACCCCCACCCCCAUGUGUUUUCAUCACAUUAUUGUGAACGGCUGAAUAGUAAUACUGCUCUACUAUUUCAUCAGGUUGUUUUGCUGAAUAGUCAAAUUGACAGUGUUUUUCUCCCUAGAUGUUUAUUGAUAUUUCAAGGGUUAAACGGAGCAAUUAAAAGAUACUCCCACGGUUCAAAAACAAUUGCACUUUUGACUUUAAUACG